UAAACGUAUCCAUCUUCCGCCCACUUUCAUUUCAUUGUUUUGUAUCAAAUAAUAACCUAACUAAACGUAUCCAUCUUCCGCCCACUUUCCAUUCUUCCAUCUUCACUCUUCAGUUCUUCACACAUCUGAUCUAAGAUUGGCUUAGGAAAGAGACUAAAUCUAUUAGUGUGGAAGAAAGUUUGGAUCAUCUUGAGGAACUUGAACUUGACAUGGCAAAUAGUGGAAGAGAUCCUUGCAUUGUUGAUGUAUGAUUGCAAUUUGCUUCUUUGUUACUAGUGUUCAACCAUGCCUUCUAGAGCUCGCUCACAAGUUUGGGAACAUUUUGUGAUGGUUCAAGACAAUGAAGAAGGGCGUAAAGCUAGGUGCUUAACAUGCAGUGCGAUACUUAAUUGUAAUAGAGCAAAUGACACAUCUAGCUUAAUGAAGCAUAUUAAGAGAUGUCUUGAAGAUAGGCGGAUUCACCUUCAACUUUAAGCUUAUGUUUUGAAUUUGGUAAAUUUCGGACUUAAUUAUGAUUGUUAUGUGAGACGACGGAUUUAACACUUGGUGUUACAACUUAUGUUUUGUAUUUGGAGCUAAAAUUUAGGACAUUUAUGCUGUUUGGUUGUUUGGCUGCUGCUCAUUUUAUCGUUAUGUUGUUUGUGUUACUCGUUUUUGUCUUGUACGUUGUUUGUUGCUGGUCACCGUAAAGACUUCAGGUUCACAUUAUGUUACUGCUGAACUGCUGAAAAAUACUGCUGCUGAAA